GCGGACGGAGCCGAAGCCAGUCGAAGAUACCAGCUGGCUGCAACUGUUUAUUAAAAACACAGCACUGUGCAAACACGAAAGUGGACGUAUACGGUGUGACGCCUGCCCGGUGCUGGAAGGUUAAUUGAUGGGGUUAUCCUUAGGGAGAAGCUCUUGAUCGAAGCCCCAGUAAACGGCGGCCGUAACUAUAACGGUCCUAAGGUAGCGAAAUUCCUUGUCGGGUAAGUUCCGACCUGCACGAAUGGCGUAAUGAUGGCCAGGCUGUCUCCACCCGAGACUCAGUGAAAUUGAACUCGCUGUGAAGAUGCAGUGUACCCGCGGCAAGACGGAAAGACCCCGUGAACCUUUACUAUAGCUUGACACUGAACAUUGAGCCUUGAUGUGUAGGAUAGGUGGGAGACUAAGAAGUGUGGACGCCAGUCUGCAUGGAGUCAACCUUGAAAUACCACCCUUUAACGUUUGAUGUUCUAACCUAGGCCCAUAAUCUGGGUCGGGGACCGUGUCUGGUGGGUAGUUUGACUGGGGCGGUCUCCUCCUAAAGAGUAACGGAGGAGCACGAAGGUUGGCUAAGCAUGGUCGGACAUCAUGCGGUUAGUGCAAAGGCAUAAGCCAGCUUGACUGUGAGAGUGACGGCUCGAGCAGGUACGAAAGUAGGUCUUAGUGAUCCGGUGGUUCUGAAUGGAAGGGCCAUCGCUCAACGGAUAAAAGGUACUCCGGGGAUAACAGGCUGAUACCGCCCAAGAGUUCAUAUCGACGGCGGUGUUUGGCACCUCGAUGUCGGCUCAUCACAUCCUGGGGCUGAAGUAGGUCCCAAGGGUAUGGCUGUUCGCCAUUUAAAGUGGUACGCGAGCUGGGUUUAGAACGUCGUGAGACAGUUCGGUCCCUAUCUGCCGUGGGCGUUGGAAGAUUGAGAGGGGUUGCUCCUAGUACGAGAGGACCGGAGUGAACGCACCACUGGUGUUCGGGUUGUCAUGCCAAUGGCAUUGCCCGGUAGCUAAGUGCGGAAGAGAUAACCGCUGAAAGCAUCUAAGCGGGAAACUUGCCUCGAGAUGAGUCUUCCCUGUCACCUAGAGUGACCUAAAGGAACGUUUAAGACUAAGACGUUGAUAGGCUGGGUGUGUAAGCGUAGCGAUACGUUGAGCUAACCAGUACUAAUGAACCGUGAGGCUUAACCUG
rnacentral:rRNA from 1 species